GGGGCAUGCUCAGCAUGAAAAUUAGGGCCCGUGGGCCUGAGUUGUAGUCUCGGGAGGUACUACCAACAGAGGCGCUGCUGUACGUCUUUUGGAAACGAGUAUCAAUGAGGGUGAGGGUCCCGCUUGUCAGUGGCAGCCCCUUGUGCACGGUGUACAUUCUGAGAGUCACGUUCCUUGGGAUUGGAGCGCAAUGCGGGUGGUAAGUUUCAUCUAAAGCUACAUAUGGGCUCAAGACCGAUAGCAAACAAGUACCAUGAGGGAAAGUUGAAAAGGACUUUGAAAAGAAAGGUAAAAGUGCUUGAAAUCACUGAAAAGGAAGUGAGCGAAGCCAAUGUGUCUUUGGUGAGAUUGCUGCACACGAGUGCCAUUGCUUGCUGCGCCAACGCAUGUGUUUCAGUAAGUCUUGAGCAGGCUGCGCGCAGUGCUUCUUGCCUUGCCUGUCAAUGUCGCUUCCCGCGUGAGGAAGAUUUCAAGGGCAUGGUAACUCCCCCCACGGU
rnacentral:rRNA from 1 species